AUGUGCUGACCAGUCCCAAAUAGGACGAAACGCGCGUCCUGGAU
rnacentral:hammerhead_ribozyme from 1 species